rnacentral:rRNA from 1 species
GACGAACGCUGGCGGCGUGCUUAACACAUGCAAGUCGAACGGAAAGGCCCUGCUUUUGUGGGGUGCUCGAGUGGCGAACGGGUGAGUAACACGUGAGUAACCUGCCCUUGACUUUGGGAUAACUUCAGGAAACUGGGGCUAAUACCGGAUAGGAGCUCCUGCUGCAUGGUGGGGGUUGGAAAGUUUCGGCGGUUGGGGAUGGACUCGCGGCUUAUCAGCUUGUUGGUGGGGUAGUGGCUUACCAAGGCUUUGACGGGUAGCCGGCCUGAGAGGGUGACCGGCCACAUUGGAACUGAGAUACGGCCCAGACUCCUACGGGAGGCAGCAGUAGGGAAUAUUGCACAAUGGGCGGAAGCCUGAUGCAGCAACGCCGCGUGCGGGAUGACGGCCUUCGGGUUGUAAACCGCUUUCGCCUGUGACGAAGAGUGAGUGACGGUAAUGGGUAAAGAAGCACCGGCUAACUACGUG